UUGACAGGGUGACUGACCAACAUUGUCUUGCAGCCCUUGAGGAUUGGGAAAAAUGCUUUAUACGUAUGCUGCAAGCCAUGAGAUUCAGAGAUACAGUGACCUCACCCCGACUGGUAUCCCCCACUGUGUUACUCAUGAUACUUGCUUCUGGAGAUAUCAUCUCCCUCAGAUUCAAUCCUGAAUUACACAAGAAAUGUAGAGAAGACCUAUUACCACUACAUCUCAAACUUUUUAAUGAAAUUGAAAUGGAACCAACACUCCCAAAUUCAUUCCUGGAUGCAAGCUUUACCCCAACACCAAAACCAGAGAAGGAUUAAACCAAAAAGGAGAACUAAAGGCCAAUCUACCUAAUGAACAUAGACACAAAAAUCCUCAAUUAGGAACCAGCAAAUAGAAUGCAGCAAAUCAUCAAGAAGAGUAUAUAUAAUGACCAAGUAGGAUUCAUCCCAGGAAUUCAAGGAUGAUUCAACAUGCACAUAUCAACAAAUGUAUUAUACCAUAUUAUCAGAGCCAAAGACAAAAACCAUAUGAUCAUCUCAAUAGAUGCAGAAAAAGUGUAUGAGAAAUUCCAACACCCACUCAUGAUAAAUACCUUACAUGAAAUUGGAAUAGAUGACCUUUAUCUCAAUCUGAUAAAAGCCAUUUAUGACAAACCAACAACCAACAUCAUACUACAUGGACAAAACCUGAAAUCUCUCACUUUAAAAUCAGGAACAAAACAAAGAUGUGCACUAUCACCACUCCUAUUCAAUAUAGUUUUAGAAACACUAGCCAGAACAGCUAGACAAGAGAAAGAAAUAGAAGGAAUAAGGAUAUAAUAGGAAGUAAUUAAAUUAUAAUUAUCUGUGCAUGACAUGAUACUGUGUGUAGAUCCCAAAAACUGCACCAAAAGACUCCUAUAUUUAAUAAAUAAAAAUUCUGAUUGUA